GACGAACGCUGGCGGCGUGCUUAACACAUGCAAGUCGAACGGAAAGGCCCUGCUUUUGUGGGGUGCUCGAGUGGCGAACGGGUGAGUAACACGUGAGUAACCUGCCCUUGACUUUGGGAUAACUUCAGGAAACUGGGGCUAAUACCGGAUAGGAGCUCCUGCUGCAUGGUGGGGGUUGGAAAGUUUCGGCGGUUGGGGAUGGACUCGCGGGUUAUCAGCUUGUUGGUGGGGUAGUGGCUUACCAAGGCUUUGACGGGUAGCCGGCCUGAGAGGGUGACCGGCCACAUUGGGACUGAGAUACGGCCCAGACUCCAACGGGAGGCAGCAGUGGAGAAUAUUGCACAAUGGGCGGAAGCCUGAUGCAGCAACGCCGCGUGCGGGAUGGCGGCCUUCGGGUUGUAAACCGCUUUCGCCUGUGACGAAGCGUGAGUGACGGUAAUGGGUAAAGAAGCACCGGCUAACUACGUG
rnacentral:rRNA from 1 species